CGUACUACAAUGGGCGUUACAAAGAGAAGCGAGACCGCGAGGUGGAGCAAAACUGAAAAAAGGCGUCCCAAGUUCGGAUUGUAGGCUGCAACUCGCCUACAUGAAGUUGGAAUUGCUAGUAAUCAUAGGUCAGCAUACUAUGGUGAAUACGUUCCCGGGCCUUGUACACACCGCCCGUCACACCAUGAGAGUUGGGAAUACCCGAAGCCCAUGUCAAAGUGGUCGAAGGUAGGCUUGAUGAUUGGGGUGAAGUCGUAACAAGGUACC
rnacentral:rRNA from 1 species